GUGACAUAGCUGGGAUAAGUU
rnacentral:miRNA from 1 species